UGCCUUAACCUUACAAUUACAAACGAUUUUCUCUUACUCACGCUUAGGGUUUCAAUUUCAACCUUCUUAAAUCUCUCAUAGUAGUAUCACACAUUCUUCUCGUCUUGCUUUCCAUGUAGGUUUCGCCUAUUCUACUCUAAUAAGUCAUCUCUUAUGUUCUUUCUUUUUCAUCUUUUAUGUUGCUAUUUUCUCUUUUAAUUAUAUUUUUAUCGCAUCUUUCUUCUCAAUCUCGCAUCUCUUAUGUUCUUUUUUUCAUCUUCUCUAAUCUCUCAUCUCAUAUGUUUUUUAUGUUUUAUUAUAAUGUCUUCGAUAUUAUUUUA
rnacentral:lncRNA from 1 species